GACGUAGGGGGCGAGCGUUGUCCGGAAUCACUGGGCGUAAAGAGCUCGUAGGCGGGGCUGCGCGUCGCGGAGUAAAUCCAUCUGCUUAACGGAUGGCUCAUCUGCGAUACGGCAGCUCUUGAGGACAGGAGAGGGAAGCGGAAUUCCGAGUGUAGCGGUGAAAUGCGUAGAUAUCGGGAAGAACACCCGUGGCGAAGGCGGUUCUCUGGGACGGUACUGACGCUGAGACGCGAAAGCGUGGGGAGCGAACAGG
rnacentral:rRNA from 1 species